rnacentral:rRNA from 1 species
UACGUAGGGUCCGAGCGUUGUCCGGAAUUACUGGGCGUAAAGGGCUCGUAGGUGGCCAACUAAGUCAGACGUGAAAUCCCUCGGCUUAACCGGGGAACUGCGUCUGAUACUGGAUGGCUUGAGUUUGGGAGAGGGACGCGGAAUUCCAGGUGUAGCGGUGAAAUGCGUAGAUAUCUGGAGGAACACCGGUGGCGAAGGCGGCGUCCUGGACCAACACUGACACUGAGGAGCGAAAGCCAGGGGAGCAAACGGG